rnacentral:rRNA from 1 species
GCCGCGGUAAUACGUAGGGACCGAAGCGCUUGUUCGGAAUUAUUGGGCGUAAAGGGUAUGUAGGCGGUCUAUUAAGUUAGAUGUGAAAAAUCUGGGCUCAACCGAGAUCUUGCGUCUAAUACUGAUAGGCUAGAGUCUCUGAGAGGAAGGCGGAAUUCCUGGUGUAGGGGUGAAAUCUAUAGAUAUCAGGAAGAACACCGGUUGCGAAGGCGGCCUUCUGGCAGAGGACUGACGCUGAGGUACGAAAGUUAGGGUAGCAAACAGGAUUAGAGACCCUGGUAGUCCUAACCGUAAACGUUGUAUACUAGGUGGUUGAAGUAUUGAUCCUUUGACUGCCGCAGCAAACGCAUUAAGUAUACCGCCUGGGGAGUAUGCCGGCAACGGUGAAACUCAAAGGAAUUGACGGGGCCCCGCACAAGCAGUGGAGCAUGUUGCUUAAUUCGAUGAUACGCGAGUAACCUUACCAGGUCUUGACAUAUACCUGUCUGGUGUAGAAAUACAUCAUUGCUUCGGCACGGGUAUACAGGUGCUGCAUGGUUGUCGUCAGCUCGUGCCGUGAGGUGUUGGGUUAAGUCCCGCAACGAGCGCAACCCUUAUUCUUUGUUGCUAACAGGUUAAGCUGAGCACUCUAAGGAGACUGCCGGUGACAAACCGGAGGAAGGUGGGGACGACGUCAAAUCAUCACGGCCCUUAUGACCUGGGCUGCAAACGUGCUACAAUGGGUGGUACAAAGAGUUGCGAGACCGCGAGGUGGAGCUAAUCUCAAAAAACUAUCCUCAGUUCGGAUUGGAGUCUGAAACCCGACUCUAUGAAGUUGGAAUUGCUAGUAAUCGCACAUCAUCAUGGUGCGGUGAAUACG